UCCGAUAUGGUCUAGUGGCUAGGAUUUGCCGCUCUCAUUGCAGAGUAACUACUUGUAGUGCCGGCAAGGCCCGGGUUCGAUUCCCGGUGUCGGAA
rnacentral:tRNA from 1 species